rnacentral:misc_RNA from 1 species
AAAAAAAAAAAAAAAAAACUAAACCAUAGUUUAAGAUACUAAUAUAUAUAUUGAAACUUGACUAAUAGUUUAGUGUCUCAAACAUGGUUUCAAUUUGCGGUUGCGGUUGCGGUUGCGGCUGCGGUUGCAGUCGUUGCUGCUGCUGAAACGGUUGAGGGAAUAGCUGCUGUUGCUGUUGCGGGAAAAGGGAGCUGCUUUGUUGGAAGGGCUGCGGCUGAGACUGAAACAGUGACUGUGGUUGCUGCUGUGGAGUUGAAAAUGGAGAAAAAGACAUCUGCGAUUCUGAUUCAAAAUUUUUGUUUUAAGUCUUGCCUUGUUAUUUGGUGUGCUUCUUCUAUGAUUGUGUUAGAUUUGGGGGUUCUAUAAAUUCAAAAACCCUGUUUAAAACCCU